rnacentral:rRNA from 1 species
AGUGAACGCUGGCGGUAGGCCUAACACAUGCAAGUCGAACGGCAGCACAGUAAGAGCUUGCUCUUACGGGUGGCGAGUGGCGGACGGGUGAGGAAUACAUCGGAAUCUACUUUUUCGUGGGGGAUAACGUAGGGAAACUUACGCUAAUACCGCAUACGACCUACGGGUGAAAGCAGGGGAUCUUCGGACCUUGCGCGAUUGAAUGAGCUGAUGUCGGAUUAGCUAGUUGGCGGGGUAAAGGCCCACCAAGGCGACGAUCCGUAGCUGGUCUGAGAGGAUGAUCAGCCACACUGGAACUGAGACACGGCCCAGACUCCUACGGGAGGCAGCAGUGGGGAAUAUUGGACAAUGGGCGCAAGCCUGAUCCAGCCAUACCGCGUGGGUGAAGAAGGCCUUCGGGUUGUAAAGCCCUUUUGUUGGGAAAGAAAAGCAGCAGGUUAAUACCCCGCUGUUCUGACGGUACCCAAAGAAUAAGCACCGGCUAACUUCGUG